AUUGAACGCUGGCGGCAUGCCUAACACAUGCAAGUCGAACGGGGCAGCAAUGCCUAGUGGCGGACGGGUGAGGAAUACGUAGGAAUCUGCCCUUAAGUGGGGGAUAACCAGGGGAAACCCUGACUAAUACCGCAUGAUCUCUUCGGAGCAAAGAGGGGGACCGCAAGGCCUCUCGCUUCUGGAUGAGCCUACGUCUGAUUAGCUAGUUGGUAGGGUAAAGGCCUACCAAGGCGACGAUCAGUAACUGGUCUGAGAGGAUGAUCAGUCACACCGGAACUGAGAAACGGUCCGGACUCCUACGGGAGGCAGCGGUGGGGAAUAUUGGACAAGGGGCGCAAGCCUGAUCCAGCAAUGCCGCGUGUGUGAAGCAGGCCUUCGGGUUGUAAAGCACUUUAGCCUGAAAAGAAAAAACUUUGGUUAACACCCAAAGUCUUGACGGUACCAGGAGAAUAAGCACCGGCUAACUCUGUGCCAGCCGCCGCGGUAAAAC
rnacentral:rRNA from 1 species